GACGAACGCUGGCGGCGUGCCUAAUACAUGCAAGUCGAACGCAGUGGGGACGGGUGAGUAACACGUGGGUAACCUCGCAUCAGAGGGGAUAACACGUGGAAACAGGUGCUAAACCGAUACUUGUGGAUGGACCCGCUGUGCAUUAGCUAGUUGGUGAGGUAACGGCUUACCAAGUGCACGAUGCAUAGCCGACCUGAGAGGGUGAUCGGCAACACUGGGACUGAGACACGGCCCAGACUCCUACGGGAGGCAGCAGUAGGGAAUCUUCGGCAAUGGACGCAAGUCUGACCGAGCAAUGCCGCGUGAGUGAAGAAGGUUUUAGGAUCGUAAAAUACUGUUAUUAGAGAAGCGGUAUCUAACCAGAAAGCCACGGCUAACUACGUGCCAGCAGCCGCGGUAAUAC
rnacentral:rRNA from 1 species